AGUUACUAAAUGGGGGACAGCUAAGUUCCAGCGGAAUCGACUGGAGCGCCACCCGUUUCCUUUGCGAAUUCAAAAGCGGGAACCCACUCAACCUAACAGUCCGGAGGUGGCCAAGGCGCCACCUGCCGGCGGAGGAAGAGGAGGCCGGCGAGUACCGGCCUCUUGGGCUGGGUGACCCCGCUCCUUCCCGGACCCCUGAGGCGGAGACUUCGGAUCCGAGGAGGCUCCACAUCCCUGGGUGGCCGGAAGGUCGCAGCCUGGGCUCUGUCCCAAAGACUGGACGGAGUGGCCCCGCUGGUGUUGCGGAGAGGUCGACAGGAAAGGCAGGGGACCCAGACGCACGGCCUCGGCAACCCAAGGAACUGCUCCCCAACACAAAGCCGCGGCAGCGCAGCAUCAGAAAAUGGACAAAGACGAUGCCUGUGCAUGUCUGCUGGUCACGGUCCUGGUCACAUUCCUGUCUACUGAAUGAAUGAAGGGGUGGCUUCAUUCUCACGGAGCAGUCCUUCCUUACCCCAUGGAGAACUCAACUGCACAGGGGAGGCCUGACAGCCUCCAGCCAGGAGGAGCCAUGCACAGGCCUGGGAAACGGCCUAAGCCAAGGUCAGAUUGUCGUGGCUCAGCCUUCGGGAUCCAGGAGCAAAAGGCACGUUCCAGGCCUGAGGAGCUCGGCGUGGAGACGGGGAGACAGACGAGCAGUCCCACAGGUGCCAGCACUGGGACACCUGCCCAGACGGAUCCCUGCCCCAGCCAGUGGACGCAGAGGCACUGACCAUUCAGAGGCUCUUCCAGAAGCCCUCACUGGGAGGAUUAAAGGCAGAUCUGGAAGGUCAGCAGAGCCCGUGAGGAGGGUGUGGGUCCCUGAGAGUCCCCAGGAUUUGCUCACAGUCCAAGCCCCAUGUCCAACCCGGGGCCAGCAGCCUCACGUGGCUCUCCAGCCUUGGACACGUGGCCGGUCCUCAGUGAGGAGCCCUGUACACGCAGCACUUCUGCUAGAUUUUGAAGUAUUCGUUCAAAACUCCCCUUUUUAAUGUAAA